CAUGUUAAUAAUUAAGUUUCUUUCAAUCUGCGACACUAGCACCACAUUCACUUUUUCUUUGUGCUUUGUCAACUCCUAAAGGAUUUUAAUUUUGAUGAACCCUUUUGUGCAGGUAUAAGGCAAAGACAGCAGCUGCAGUCAAAGUUCCAGGGUUUCAAUUUGAGAGUUCUUCAUCAGACUGUCAACUGAGGACUAUGACUUUGACAAUGCUUUUGGGGUUCUCUGCAGUAUACGCAGGUUUUAAGUUCUGAUUUUUAGUGAAGAUGCUACUAAGCUUCCUCUGCCAUAUCCUAAAGUCGGAUAUCUUACUGUACCACCAGUACGGAAACCAAUUGCACGUCAUAGUGAUUGGCUAUGACCACAAUUUAUUUUGAACAAUGAAGGACUUCAACAGCAGGUCACCAAAGGUGACGAAAAGCAAGCAGAAGAUCAGGAGAUACAGCUAUGAAAGUUAAUAUUCCAGAUAUAUAUUCUGUUACAGUUUGCCAGCAGAUAUG